GACGAACGCUGGCGGCGUGCUUAACACAUGCAAGUCGAACGGGUCUGCCCUGUUUUUUGCGGGGUGGGUCAGUGGCGAACGGGUGAGUAACACGUGAGUAACCUGCCCCUCACUUCUGGAUAACCGCUUGAAAGGGUGGCUAAUACGGGGUGUUCUGGCUGUGCCGCAUGGUGUGGCUGGGAAAGAUUCACUUUUGUGGUGUUUUGGUGGGGGAUGGGCUCGCGGCCUAUCAGCUUGUUGGUGGGGUGAUGGCCUGCCAAGGCUUUGACGGGUAGCCGGCCUGAGAGGGUGGGCGGUCACACUGGGACUGAGAUACAGCCCAGACUCCUGCGGGAGGCAGCAGUGGGGGGUAUUGCACAAUGGGCGGAAGCCUGAUGCAGCGACGUCGCGUGAGGGAUGGAGGCCUUCGGGUUGUGAACCUCUUUCGCCGGUGAAGAAGGUCCUGCUCUUUGUGGUGGGGUUGACGGUAGCCGGGUUAUGAAGCGCCGGCUAACUACGUG
rnacentral:rRNA from 1 species